rnacentral:rRNA from 1 species
CAGUUCGGACUGCAGGCUGAAACCCGCCUGUAUGAAGUUGGAAUCGCUAGUAAUCGCGGAUCAGCAUGCCGCGGUGAAUACGUUCCCGGGCCUUGUACACACCGCCCGUCAAACCAUGAGAGUUGGCAACACCCGAAGUCGGUAGUCUAACCGCAAGGAGGACGCCGCCGAAGGUGGGGUUGAUGAUUAGGGUUAAGUCGUAACAAGGUAUC